UACAGAGGGGGCAAGCGUUGUUCGGAAUUACUGGGCGUAAAGGGCGCGUAGGCGGCCUGCUAAGUCGAACGUGAAAUCCCCGAGCUCAACUCGGGAACUGCGUCCGAUACUGGAAGGCUUGAAUCCGGGAGAGGGAUGCGGAAUUCCAGGUGUAGCGGUGAAAUGCGUAGAUAUCUGGAGGAACACCGGUGGCGAAGGCGGCAUCCUGGACCGGUAUUGACGCUGAGGCGCGAAAGCCAGGGGAGCAAACGGG
rnacentral:rRNA from 1 species